AUCGCUUCUCGGCCUUUUGGCUAAGAUCAAGUGUAGUAUCUGUUCUACCUGUUAUGGGGUGGAAAAAUACAGUUCGUUUUUUGUGGAAAGAUGAAGAGGGUGGAGAGAUGCUAA
rnacentral:snRNA from 1 species